rnacentral:rRNA from 1 species
GGUUUAAUUCGACGCAACGCGCAGAACCUUACCAGCCCUUGACAUCCCGGUCGCGGUUUCCAGAGAUGGAUUCCUUCAGUUCGGCUGGACCGGUGACAGGUGCUGCAUGGCUGUCGUCAGCUCGUGUCGUGAGAUGUUGGGUUAAGUCCCGCAACGAGCGCAACCCUCGUCCUUAGUUGCCAUCAUUCAGUUGGGCACUCUAAGGAGACUGCCGGUGAUAAGCCGCGA